UAAUUUGGAAAUUAAACGGAUAAAGUGUUCCCAUCCAUUGCAAAAAUUAAUGGUUUUUAAUAGUUAUUUUUCAGGUUCCACCCAGAGUAAUAGAGUAAUAUGACGCCUUUGUGGCUGCAGUAGAUAAAGGAAAUAUAAUAACAAUGCCAAACAGAAGCAUGCCUACUCCUAGCGCGCUUUUAAUGGGAGACCCAUUUAACACGUGACACCCGUUCUGGUGUAUGAAUGAUUGUUGUGUUAUCAGAUAUCGUCUUACUUCGCGACCUUUGUAGACCACUAAGUAAUCUUAAUGAUGCACCUACACUUUGCAAUUAUCUUGAGUGCUUCUAUGCUCUUAGAAAGUCGUGUCAUCUACGAUAAACACAUUGGUGGCUGCUCUAUACAAGGUAUUUUGUGCAUCACCAGACUCAUGAAGAAAAGAAAUGCGUCAAGCAUGCUUCAAUUAUCUUAGCCUUGAAGGCAUAUGCUCACAAGGACCGAUAUCUUUACUUUCAUGACUCAACCGACGCCUCAUAGUCCUAUUUCUUCAUUUUUUUUCUAUUGCUAUCUAUGGUGUUGGCUUUUUCUCUCAACCCGUUUCCAUCACCAAAACCGUUAUGGCUUGGGGCUCGACUCAUCUUGGGUGCAUCUGGGAUCAUCUUUCCAAUUAUCAAGUCGGAAGGAGUUCGACAAAUGUACUUCCCAGCAAUGGUUGCAGCAUACUACAAAGCUCCUCAAGUUGCUUAACCAUCAAUCAUAUCUUGAGUUUUUAAUGUUGGAAUGGUAUUGGAAGUAGG